rnacentral:rRNA from 1 species
GACGAACGCUGGCGGCGCGCCUAACACAUGCAAGUCGAACGAGAGAGAGGAAGCUUGCUUCCUCAAUCGAGUGGCGAACGGGUGAGUAACGCGUGAGGAACCUGCCUCAAAGAGGGGGACAACAGUUGGAAACGACUGCUAAUACCGCAUAAGCCCACGGGUCGGCAUCGACCAGAGGGAAAAGGAGCAAUCCGCUUUGAGAUGGCCUCGCGUCCGAUUAGCUGGUUGGUGAGGUAAUGGCCCACCAAGGCGACGAUCGGUAGCCGGACUGAGAGGUUGAACGGCCACAUUGGGACUGAGACACGGCCCAGACUCCUACGGGAGGCAGCAGUGGGGAAUAUUGCACAAUGGGGGAAACCCUGAUGCAGCGACGCCGCGUGGAGGAAGAAGGUCUUCGGAUUGUAAACUCCUGUUGUUGAGGAAGAUAAUGACGGUACUCAACAAGGAAGUGACGGCUAACUACGUGCCAGCAGCCGCGGUAAAACGUAGGUCACAAGCGUUGUCCGGAAUUACUGGGUGUAAAGGGAGCGCAGGCGGGAAGACAAGUUGGAAGUGAAAUCUAUGGGCUCAACCCAUAAACUGCUUUCAAAACUGUUUUUCUUGAGUAGUGCAGAGGUAGGCGGAAUUCCCGGUGUAGCGGUGGAAUGCGUAGAUAUCGGGAGGAACACCAGUGGCGAAGGCGGCCUACUGGGCACCAACUGACGCUGAGGCUCGAAAGUGUGGGUAGCAAACAGAAUUAGAUACCCUGGUAGUCCACUCCGUAAACGAUGGAUUAUUAGGUGUUGGAGGAUUGACCCCCUCAGUGCCGCAGGUAACACAAUAAGUAAUCCACCUGGGGAGUACGACCGCAAGGUUGAAACUCAAAGGAAUUGACGGGGGCCCGCACAAGCAGUGGAGUAUGUGGUUUAAUUCGACGCAACGCGAAGAACCUUACCAAGUCUUGACAUCCUGCGACGAUGCUGGAAACAGUAUUUUCCUUCGGGACGCAGAGACAGGUGGUGCAUGGUUGUCGUCAGCUCGUGUCGUGAGAUGUUGGGUUAAGUCCCGCAACGAGCGCAACCCUUACUGUCAGUUACUACGCAAGAGGACUCUGGCAGGACUGCCGUUGACAAAACGGAGGAAGGUGGGGAGGACGUCAAAUCAUCAUGCCCCCUAUGACUUGGGCUACACACGUACUACAAUGGCGUUAAACAAAGAGAAGCAAGACCGCGAGGUGGAGCAAAACUCAGAAACAACGUCCCAGUUCGGACUGCAGGCUGCAACUCGCCUGCACGAAGUCGGAAUAGCUAGUAAUCGUGGAUCAGCAUGCCACGGCGAAUACGUUCCCGGGCCUUGCAC